UACGUAGGGGGCGAGCGUUGUCCGAAGUUACUGGGCGUAAAGCGCGCGUAGGCGGUUAUUUAAGUCUGUGGUGAAAGGUUCAGCGCUCAACGCGAACAUUGCCCUGGAUACUGGAUAACUUGAGUCUGGCAGGGGGUAGCGGAAUUCAUGGUGUAGCAGUGAAAUGCGUAGAGAUCAUGAGGAAGACCAGUGGCGAAGGCGGGUCUCUGGACAGUUCCUGACACUGAGGCACGAAGGCCAGGGGAGCAAACGGG
rnacentral:rRNA from 1 species